UCCUCGGUGACGAGGGUGUGGGCCUCGUUCUGCGAGGCGACCUUGAACUCGUCGAGUUCGCUCUCGCUCGGAUCGAGGCCGUUGAU
rnacentral:tRNA from 1 species